rnacentral:rRNA from 1 species
GUGAGGAAUAUUGGACAAUGGGCGCAAGCCUGAUCCAGCCAUGCCGCGUGCAGGAAGACGCAUCUAUGGUGUGUAAACUGCUUUUGUACGGGAAGAAACACUCCCUCGUGAGGGAGCUUGACGGUACCGUAAGAAUAAGGAUCGGCUAACUCCGUGCCAGCAGCCGCGGUAAUACGGAGGAUCCAAGCGUUAUCCGGAAUCAUUGGGUUUAAAGGGUCCGUAGGCGGUUUAAUAAGUCAGUGGUGAAAGCCCAUCGCUCAACGAUGGAACGGCCAUUGAUACUGUUAGACUUGAAUUACAAGGAAGUAACUAGAAUAUGUAGUGUAGCGGUGAAAUGCUUAGAUAUUACAUGGAAUACCAAUUGCGAAGGCAGGUUACUACUUGUGGAUUGACGCUGAUGGACGAAAUCGUGGGGAGCGAACAGGAUUAGAAACCCCGGUAGUCC